rnacentral:rRNA from 1 species
GACGAACGCUGGCGGCGUGCCUAACACAUGCAAGUCGAACGGGAUCCAUGAGAGCUUGCUCUCGGAAGAUCUAGUGGCGAACGGGUGAGUAACACGUGAGAAACCUGCCCUGGAGUGGGGAAUAACUCGGGGAAACCCGAGCUAAUACCGCAUACCCUUGGAUGAUCGCAUGGUCGACCAAGGAAAGAUUUAUCGCUCUAGGAGGGUCUCGCGGCCUAUCAGCUAGUUGUGGGGUAAUGGCCUACCAAGGCAACGACGGGUAGCUGGUUUGAGAGAACGAUCAGCCACACUGGGACUGAGACACGGCCCAGACUCCUACGGGAGGCAGCAGUGGGGAAUCUUGCGCAAUGGGCGAAAGCCUGACGCAGCAACGCCGCGUGCGGGAUGACGGCCUCGUGGUUGUAACGACUUCUAGCAGGACGGAAACGUAGACGGUAACCGUUCGCGACGAAGGAAGACCCGGCCGUAACUAACCGUACGCCGACGACAGACCGCCGGUAAACGGUACGACGUACG